UACGGAGGGUGCAAGCGUUAUCCGGAUUCACUGGGUUUAAAGGGUGCGUAGGUGGGUCUGUAAGUCAGUGGUGAAAUCUCCGAGCUUAACUCGGAAACUGCCAUUGAUACUAUAGAUCUUGAAUUAUCUGGAGGUUAGCGGAAUAUGUCAUGUAGCGGUGAAAUGCUUAGAUAUGACAUAGAACACCGAUUGCGAAGGCAGCUGACUACAGGUAUAUUGACACUGAGGCACGAAAGCGUGGGGAGCAAACAGG
rnacentral:rRNA from 1 species